AAAAUCGCAAGUAAAAUAUUUUAACUAAAUUGCAAGAUCCAGUCAAGUAGUAAAUAAUAAUACAAUACAAUUAAAUAAAAGUAAAAUAAACAAUACAAAUAUCCAAACACCUUAAAAUACAUAAUUCAAAUACAAAUUCAUUUCUAUUUUCAUUGCACAGAAGUACAAGUCAAUAUCUUGGCAUUCAUAUGGCUAAAACAAUUUCAAAUGUGUAGUAGUCUCUCCAAACCUUACUGUCAAUCAAAUUAUUCAGAUCUAGUAACUUGCCUUUAUUGAAGAAUAACCCUCAUCAUAUCUAGACACACAUAAAUUUUUUAUGAACUAAGAUUGAAAAUAUUACACUGGAAUAGAGCAUGCAACAAAAAACUAACACUAUGCACAUAUCUGCAUAUAUAAAAGCAUGCAUUCAAUUAUGCACGAGUUUCCCAUUAUAUAUAAAUACCUACUUCCACUCCAGGAGGCUGAAGAUCAACUCCCCUCAAUGAGUAGCAGCAACAGAGGAGCAUGUCAAUUUUUUAAAACCAGCUGAAAUCCUAAUCUUACCACUUUUCCAUGUCAAUAAACAGAAAGUGAAGUAAAAAGUGAAGUAAGAAAUACAUACCUUCAUUAUCACACAAUUUGUUAUUAACUUUAACACCAAUCCCAUAAAAAAACCUACAGAACCCUGUAAUCUCGUAUUAUAAACUGUAAAAUCUCCUAUUUUUCCCCAUAAUUUAUCUGCAUUCACACUGAUUGUUUUUCUGCAAUUUAAUGUUAUCAUUUUAUGAUUGAAAAGAUUUGCUCUCCCAAACAAACCUAAUAUCUGUUGAACAUAAAGAUUUACCCUGUAAAAAGCGUCGAAAACUUCAAGCAGCCAGAGAGAUGCUGAAGGAUGAAGAUCUAACUGAGAAACCAGAAGUACGUGUCCCCUCCUCUCUGCUAAAUUACAUAACCCUGAUUAAAAAGGUAUAUACUAAUUAAUUAGAUAUCCAUGUCAGUUGGACUAGUUUCAUAUGAAAUUGUAUUUUGAAAUUAAAUCUUUCAUGCAAGAUUGCCGGGAUGAUCAAGGUUUUUGUAGCAUAGAGUGCAAAAAUAGACAGAUGAUUUUGGAUGAAAUGAGAGAACUAGAAGCGUCUACCAACCAAAACCAAUAAUUUUAAUCUACAUGAAUGUGUUCUGUGCAUUUUCCUUUUAUGGAACAUAGCUUUCCUAUACUGUGACGAUGCAAGUAAAAUCCAAGGAUUAGAACUUCUUAAAAACGAAAUUUCCAAAUCAAUCAAAGCAGAUUGCGUGCCUGGGACCUGGGCUUAUAUAUUAUAUAAUUAUAAUUAGCAGAUUAACAAAUUUUCCUACAAUUAGUGGGUCACAUCUUCUUAAAAACAACAACAGGCAACAACACUAUAUACAGCCAAAAAAAAAAAAACAUGGCCCUCUUCUACAUAAUAAAACAUGACAGAAAAGAUGAGAAUCCAACAAGCAAACCUGGUUAUAUAUUUGUGCUGCUGGUGAGUUGAGAGUCGAGAGUGAAACCAGUAGUAGUCGAGAGGGAAAUCAGUUGAUGUUAAUUUGUUAGGGCUGAGACUUGAGAGUUGAGAUUUUGAGAUUUUGGUGAGUGUGAGACUGUGAGUGCACUGAAUGGAGUGUCGGGCGCAAUGAAAUCAGGAGAUGGAGUAGCAAUGAGAAGACUUUUAAUUUUUU
rnacentral:lncRNA from 1 species